UGGGGAAUAUUGCACAAUGGGCGCAAGCCUGAUGCAGCCAUGCCGCGUGUAUGAAGAAGGCCUUCGGGUUGUAAAGUACUUUCAGCGGGGAGGAAGGGAGUAAAGUUAAUACCUUUGCUCAUUGACGUUACCCGCAGAAGAAGCACCGGCUAACUCCGUGCCAGCAGCCGCGGUAAUACGGAGGGUGCAAGCGUUAAUCGGAAUUACUGGGCGUAAAGCGCACGCAGGCGGUUUGUUAAGUCAGAUGUGAAAUCCCCGGGCUCAACCUGGGAACUGCAUCUGAUACUGGCAAGCUUGAGUGUCGUAGAGGGGGGUAGAAUUCCAGGUGUAGCGGUGAAAUGCGUAGAGAUCUGGAGGAAUACCGGUGGCGAAGGCGGCCCCCUGGACGAAGACUGACGCUCAGGUGCGAAAGCGUGGGGAGCAAACAGG
rnacentral:rRNA from 1 species